CGUCUACUUGCUCAAUGCUGCCUCCUUUUAGAAGCUCAUCAACAUCAGUUUCGAAAGGUCAAUUUUUUUUCUUUGGUCAUGCUUGGAUAGAUCGCUGCCACAUGCUAUCCAAUACUGUUCUGCAUGGUGCUCUGGGCCGUGGCAUUCGUGCCACUGCUGUCUCUGCGUGUUUGUGCAAGCCAAGCACUAUACUUCACUGUUCUGGUCCGUUAGAUUGAUUCAUAGAAUUUCGUUUCCGUUUCUAAUGUGCAAACUUUUUCUAAUGUGUGAGGUGCAUAAGCAUGUGGGCCGGCUCGCCUUCCACCCUCAAACCUGCGCCAGGCUGACUCGCCGGUGAAUGUACACGUCGCCCACAUGGCAGGCGUCCAUCCGACAUGCUGCUCCUUCGACAGAAAGGGGAGCUGGUGCUUCGAAAAGUAAGCACCUUUCUGUAUAUUCCCCCCUCUCUAACCCUUGGCUUGGAUUUGCGUUUAGCCUAGCCAUUGGAUGAUGUCGACAAAUCUGCUUUGUUUGCAUUGUAGAAAAUUCCGCUGCCUGUGUAGAUCUCACUGCUCCUAGGCAGUGAUUUGGUUUAUUAUUGUGUGAGGUGUUUCUGGGUACUGGAACAUGCUUGUUUCCUUGCAUUUCUGCUUCCUGUACUACUUUUCUCGUUCAUUCUUAUUUAUAAACACUCAAAUUGUUGGUUGUGCUUUAUGUUUAGGAUCUGUUGGUAAUGUGUGUAUCAAGAAUAAAAAUAAGAAUCAAGGUGUUAAGCGUACGUACAUGCAACAUUUAUCUCCUUUCCUCCUACAUGUAGCCAGCUUGUAGAACCAUGUUUUGUUGUUGCUGCUAAUUUGUUUCACAAUACCCUCGAUGCAAAUGGACAGACUUAUUACAAGUUGAAUUGUGUAUGCUCAAGUGCCCAGCAGGGUAUUUUAGAUGGCUGCUAUCUCGAAUCUUUUCUAAGUAUAUCAGCGUUUAGCUAUGCUGACCAUGAUUUGUUCUUGUCCGAGGAAAACACAAACUAAUCGACUCUGGUGGCCUUCUUCUUCGACUCCAUGUGCUUAGCAUGUAAAGAAAGAAAGAUUAAGAAGGAUGAGCCAGAUCCUUUAACUUUCUCUGUAUGCAUGUAAUCCAAUCGGUCUGGUGCAGAGGUGUUGGGACACGGCCGCCAUUGUGUGCCCUUGUGUCUAGCUCAAGUCGGUUCGAGAGUCUAGCGUGACCUGGAAAGCUGUCGCUGGCCAUGGCUUAUGUGUAACAAUUGCUGUUUCGGUCCUUGUAUUGUUUGGCCCAUGUAACAUCCUUCUUGUAAUGCUCCAAAAUAGGAGUUGUAAUAGUGAGUUGUUUACCUUGCCAUGUUUGUAGUCUUUGGUCACGAGUAAAAAAUGGGUUGUGCUCUUGGCA